rnacentral:rRNA from 1 species
UCAGGACGAACGCUGGCGGCGUGCUUAACACAUGCAAGUCGAACGGAAAGGCCCUUUCGGGGGUACUCGAGUGGCGAACGGGUGAGUAACACGUGGGUGAUCUGCCCUGCACUUUGGGAUAAGCCUGGGAAACUGGGUCUAAUACCGAAUACACCUUGCUGGCUGCAUGGCCUGGUGGGGGAAAGCUUUUGCGGUGUGGGAUGGGCCCGCGGCCUAUCAGCUUGUUGGUGGGGUGAUGGCCUACCAAGGCGACGACGGGUAGCCGGCCUGAGAGGGUGUCCGGCCACACUGGGACUGAGAUACGGCCCAGACUCCUACGGGAGGCAGCAGUGGGGAAUAUUGCACAAUGGGCGCAAGCCUGAUGCAGCGACGCCGCGUGAGGGAUGACGGCCUUCGGGUUGUAAACCUCUUUCAGUAUCGACGAAGCGCAAGUGACGGUAGGUACAGAAGAAGCACCGGCCAACUACGUGCCAGCAGCCGCGGUAAUACGUAGGGUGCGAGCGUUGUCCGGAAUUACUGGGCGUAAAGAGCUCGUAGGUGGUUUGUCGCGUUGUUCGUGAAAACUCACAGCUCAACUGUGGGCGUGCGGGCGAUACGGGCAGACUGGAGUACUGCAGGGGAGACUGGAAUUCCUGGUGUAGCGGUGGAAUGCGCAGAUAUCAGGAGGAACACCGGUGGCGAAGGCGGGUCUCUGGGCAGUAACUGAC